CCGCUUCCCUCUCCUUCCCCGCAGGUGAGCUCGGGCGAGGAGCGCUUCCGAGGGAGCCGCCGCUCCGACGAGCAGUCUUUUGCAGAGGGGAAGCCCCCACCCAGCUCCGAUCCUGGCGUUCGGCUGCCGCCGCGGCCCGGGAAGCGGGAUGGCGGGACGUCGGCACGCGCGGCCCUUCGGCACGGGGGGAGACGAGAGCCCGGAGCAGAGCCGUGGCCCCGCACCGCCAGCACGCCGGCAUCGCCCGCCGCGGCCGCAGGGUAACCUCACAGAGCAACAGAAAGCAACGUGAGAUACCUGCGGGAGCCGAAACACCCCCCGGGACUGUCUGAAGAGGCUGCUGAAAGCGCGGCUGAGUUUCUGCUAAGACACUUGCAAUAGGGUCGCUUUAAGAUACAGUUAAGGGCAAUUGCAACUCCAAAUCGGCCGCGCGGAUCCAGCACGGCCCCGGCACAGGCGGCCACGGAGCCACACGGCGCCUUCCAGCUCCGGCAUCGAACGGCCCCAAAGGAGGUUUUUCUGCGCGGGUUUGCUCCCAAACGCAGCAUCCCGGGGCGUUUCUGCCCCUCGUCUCCCGCUCGGAUUAACUGGAAGCACCGAAGCAGCACGAAGCCGCCGUCGGCGCUGGCGGAUCCCCCAGACUCCCGGCGUUAUCGGAGGAUCGCACCGAAGCCGCAGACGGACCCGUUCAUCCCCGGCCCGGGCAGACCUGCUCCCUGCGGCGCUUCCCAACAGGCUCCACCAGGUCCAGAGAAGCCGCCGUGAAAUGCAGCUUCUGCGGGGAUUUCGGGCAGCCGAAGACGUGUUUUUCCACUAGAGAAGCAGCUGGUGCCAGGCCUGGGGCUGGAGCAGCCGUUUUGGGGGCGUUUGGUGGAUUUUUCGCCCCCUCGAGAAGGAAGCGAGCCACCGUGCCGGGCUCCGGGUUGCUUCGUGUCUAAUUCACGCCGGAGGUAUCCCUGGAUCCACGAGCCCCGCGAGCUCGUGCUCUUGCCCGGUCGGGAAUGGCUUCGGACUCCGCUGGGCGCCGGGCGCUGCAGGGAUCUCGCCGCACGGCGCAGGCCAGGCCAGGCCUCCCCCUUCGACACCUGCUCACGCGGUGGGCAACGCUCGCGACGGAGCUUGGAUCCAGCCCGGUGCCGCCCCGGAGCCGCCUCUUCUCCCUCCCUGUUUCAGCUCCCCGGUCGCUCCCUUUCCGAACGAGGACGUUCCCAGCUCAAAGCGCCGGCGCCGGCUUUCCCGGGACUCGCGGGGCUCCGGGCAGCCCCCGGCCGAGGGCAGCCAGGCCAGGCCGCAUCCACGGCGGCUCCGGCAGAACGAGCUUAAAAGACUCUUUGCCAGCGCGUCGCUGAGGAGCUGGUGGUUCAAUUGCUGGGGGAGUUUGGCCUCAGACAGACAUGAAAUAAAAUAAAUCAGCACCGUCUUCCCCUCCGCCUUUCCCCUCCAUGUCGGUUUGGGGGCAGACUGCCAUCGCCAGCGCCGGGAAAAGCAAAGAGAAAUCCUGCAUUUAUUUGUCGCUGCUUUGAAAAUGCGUGUUUUUUUAGGGACAGAAAGCUCGGAGCGCUGCAGGCGGCACCGGGAGCUGGCGCGGGCAGGUCACUGCGGGGCGCAAGGCAGAGCCACCGCUCCGGACCCGGCAGGAGCGACUCUCCGGGCAGUAAAUUCCCGAAUCCCCUGGAUUUGCAGGCAGGCUGGGGCCAGCGCGGCUCCUCGCCUGAGCCGGGAGCAGAGCAUCCCGCGGGGCCCGUGCGGGAGCCCUCCCAGCCGGACCCCGGCCCCGCUCCCACCAGCCUCAGCCCGCCCAGGGCUCCGGUGCUGCGGAAUCGCCCACGGUCCCGGUUUUCCACCCCGGAGCGGGCUGAAGACCCCGACGCCUGCGCUGCUGCGGGCCCGGCAGAGCCGUUUGGGGGUUUGCGGGUGCGUGGAGCCGUGUGAGCUGCCGCUGACACCUGUGUGCAGCCGACGGACCCGGUUCCACCCGACGAGCCGCUUCGGGUGCCCCGGAAAGCAAAAUAAAGGGAAAAGCGGCUGAAAGCAGCUGCUCUCCGCAGCUCCGCUCGGCGACUUCGGAAAUCACCGGCUGCU